GAUGGCUCUUAUCUAUGGCAAUUUCUAUGAAGUUUUUGGACAGAGAAGCAUUGGCAGAACACAGGGUUUUUCCGGUCUGGGCCCAUGCGUCACAUGUGCACUUGAGCACACAGUUCCCUCAGGCUUAUUGUUCAGUCUUGUGAAAUGUGGAUAACGGAUCUAUUCCCUUCUCAAUGAGACUAACGAGCCAAAGGUUUGCAAGACGUCUUGAGAAGUUUUCUGCAAGUUUUAAAACAAACUCUUCCAAAACCAUGUUUUCAAAAACCCGAUUUGUUUAAUUCCUUAGUUAUUUUUAGAACUAAAUACAUCUCUUAAGUGGCAUUUAAAAAGAGCAAGAUUACAAUUCCGUAAUCUGCUGUAAACAUUGCCAUGAACACUGCAAGCAACCUUGACUAGCUGAGCUCAUGGAAAUUGUGUCUUCAUCUGCCUGUGUCUUUCCUUUGCUCUAACUUCACAUUACCAGAAAUAUGCAGCUCACGUGGGAUGACAUUUAUUCAAGGUAAUGAUAACAAUCUAGCUGUCUCCCCCUGUGAUGCAUGUGUUCCGGCCCUUCCUGGCCCAAGGUCCAUUUGCUUGCUUUUCUCUCAGAGCUCAUUCCUUCUCAGUCAUUUUGGCCAGAAAGUUCCCGCUUCGGAGCUGAAGGUGAAAUUUGGAGCCAUUUCAGAGAGGAGAACAAAAAUGGGACCAUGCAAGGAAGAAUCUAGUACUCGUUUUUAAGGUGAACUACAAGGAUUUGAUGGAGUUUCUUUAUUUAAUAAAGAAAUACUUUUUUGAGAAUUGCCUGUCCUUUGCAUAUGAGCCAUUUUAACUGGGGUAAGUUUUGCUUUGCAUUACUCUGAUGGUCAAUAAUGUUGAGCACCUUUUCCUAUGCCUGUUUGCCAUUUGUAUGUCUUCCUUUGAGAAUAUCUAUUCAAAUCUUCUGCCCAGUUUUAAAAUCAGAUUAUUAGACUUUAUCCUAUAGAGUUAUUUGAGCUCCUCAUAUAUUCUAUUAUUAAUCCCUUGUCAGAUGGGUAGUUUGCAAAUAUUUUCUCUCACUCUGUGGGUUGUCUCUUUACCUCGUUAGUUGUUUCCUUUGCUAUGCAGAAGCUUUUUAACUUGAUGUGAUUUCAUUUGCCCAUUAUUGCUUUGGAUACCUGUGUUUAUGGGGUACUACUCUAGAAAUUUUUGCCCAGACCAAUGUCCUGGAGAUUUUUCCUAAUAGUUUAUGAUAUUAGCUUCAUAGUUUGAGGUAUUAGAUUUAAGUCUUUAAUCCAGUAUGUGUGUGUGUGUGUGUGUGUGUGUGUGUGUGUGUGUGUGUGUAGAGAUAGAGGUCUAGUUUCAUUCUUCUGCAUAUGAAUAUCGAGUUUUGUGAGCACCAUGUAUUGAAGAGAUUGUCUUUCCCCCACCAAUGUAUGUUCUUGACAUUUUUGUCAAAAAUGAAUUCACCCUAGUUGUCUGGAUUUAUUUUUGGAUUCUAGAGUCUGUUCCAUUGGUCUAUGUGUCUGUUUUUGUGCCAGUUCCAUGCUAUUUUGCUUAUUAUAGCUCACUAGUAUAAUGUGAAGUCAGGUAGUGUGACUCCUCCAGUUUUAUUAUUUUGCUUAGGAUAGCGUUGACUAUUCUGGGUCUUUUGAGGUUCCAUAUAAAUUUUAGGAUUUUCUUUUCUAUUUGUGUGAAGAUUGCCAUUAACAUUUUGGUAAGGAUUGCAUGGCUAUGGGUAUGUCGUGUAUAGCUUUUAUUAUAUUGAGCUAUGUUCCUUCUCAACCCAGUUUUUUAUCCUUUUAUUAUGAAGAGAUGUUGGAUUGUAUCACUAUUUCAGCACCAAUUGAAAUUAUCAUAUGGUUUUUAUCCUUCAUUUAUUGAUAUGAUGUAUCACAUUGAUUGGUUUGCAUAUGUUGAACUAUCCUUUCAUCCUAGGGAAAAAAUCCUACUUGGUCAUGAUGAAUGAUCUUUCUAAUAUAUUGUUGAAUUUGCUUUGCCAGUAUUUGGCAGUGUGGGAAAGGCAGAUUUCUCCAUCAACAUUCAUCAGAGAUAUUGACCUGUAGUUUUCUUUUUUUGAUGUGUCUUCAUCUGUUUUUGGUGUCAGGGUCAUACUGGCAUUGUAGAACAACUUUGGAAGUGUUCCUUCAUCCUCUAUUUUUCAAAAUAGUUUGAGUAGGAUUCUUGAAAUAUGCGGUAGAAUUCAGCAGUGAAGCCAUUGGGUCCCAGGCUUUUCUUUACAGGGAGACUUUUUAUUACAGCUUCAAUGUUGCUGCCGGUUAUUGGUCUGUUCAGGUUUUGGAUUUCUUCCUGGUUCAAUCUUGUUAGGUUGUAUGUGUCUAGGAAUUUGUCAAUUUCUUCUAUAUGUUCCAAUUUUUGGCAUAUAGUUGCUCACAGCAGCCACUAAUGAUUUUUUUGUGCAGUGUCAGUUGUAAUGUCUCCUUUCUCAUUUCUUAUUUAUUCAUAUCUUCUUUUUUUCUUAGUCUGACUAAAGAUGCAUUGAUUUAACUUUUCAAAAAAAUCAACUUUUUCUUAAUCUUUAGUAUUGUUUUAUUCAUUUCCAUUUCAUUUAUUUCUGCUCCAACCUUUAUUUUUUUCCCCCCCUUACUACUUUUUGGUUUGGAUUGCUCUUGCUUUUCUAGUUUUUUGAAAUGCAUCAUUAAAUUGCUUAUUUGGAACUUUCUCUCUUUUUUGAUGUAGGCACUUAUAGCUCUAACUUUCCCUCUUAGUACUGCUUUUGCUGUAUCCCAUAGGUUGGCAUAUGUUGUGUUUGCAUUAUUAUUUAUUUCAAUAAACUUUUCAAUUUUCUUCUUAAUUUCUACAUUCACUGGUCAUUCAGGAGCAUAUUGUUUAAUUUCCAUGUAUCUGUAUAGUUUCCACAAUUCCUCUUGUUCGUAAUUUCUAGUUUUAUUUCAUUGCAGUAAGAAAAGAUACUUGACAUUAUUUCAAUUUUUUUGAAUGUUUUAAGACUUGUUUUGUGACUUAA
rnacentral:lncRNA from 1 species